UUGUCUCAAAGAUUAAGCCAUGCAUGUCUAAGUAUAAGCAAUUAUACAGCGAAACUGCGAAUGGCUCAUUAUAUAAGUUAUCGUUUAUUUGAUAGUACCUUACUACUUGGAUAACCGUGGUAAUUCUAGAGCUAAUACAUGCUAAAAAUCCCGACUUCGGAAGGGAUGUAUUUAUUAGAUUAAAAACCAAUGCCCUCUGGGCUCUUUGGUGAUUCAUGAUAACUUCUCGAAUCGCACGGCCUUGCGCCGGCGAUGGUUCAUUCAAAUUUCUUCCCUAUCAACUUUCGAUGUUUGGGUAUUGGCCAAACAUGGUUGCAACGGGUAACGGAGGGUUAGGGCUCGACCCCGGAGAAGGAGCCUGAGAAACGGCUACUACAUCCAAGGAAGGCAGCAGGCGCGCAAAUUACCCAAUCCCGACACGGGGAGGUAGUGACAAUAAAUACUGAUACAGGGCUCUUUUGGGUCUUGUAAAUUGGAAUGAGUACAAUUUAAAUCCCUUAACGAGGAACAAUUGGAGGGCAAGUCUGGUGCCA
rnacentral:rRNA from 1 species